CCACCUCAAAUCAGCUGUGAGAAGUUGCAUAUACGGGUCCUCAUAGUGUAGUAGAUUUAGUUGGUUAAAGGAAACGCUGUAUCCACCAGGCACCACGAACUGCACAGAUGAGGUAGCUAUUGUAUUGGUUGUUGUAAGUAACUUACUACUAACCUUUCGCUCGAGGUCAAAUCACCCGGAGACUGAGUAUCAAGGUAGAAGGCACCACCGUUCACACUGAUCAUGGCAACGAGACCACCCCUCUCCUGGGAAAUAGGAGGCAAGGGAUAAAGGGGCCUCCUUCAUCUGUCUUCAAUCUGAUGAAGGUCAUCAUGGGCAGUGCCAUCCUGGACCUGGCCUACGCAAUGGCCAACACCGGUAUAGUGGGCUUCGGCCAUGUCGUCAUACAUGUUCAUCUUGAAAACCGAGCUUCCUGCAGCCAUCGCCAGCUUCCUAAGCCGGUACGCAUAAGCUUCCAGCAUUAUCAAUUCAAAUAAAUAGACCUUUAUUCAAACAAACACAACAUCCUAGUAAUCAUGCCAUUCUUUCCCUAUGGUGCAUUAAUCAUAUGACCUGACUGACAGGUAAAAUGCCAUUAGAGCAGAUUUGGAUCAAACAACAGACAUAAGAUCAAGAGAAUACUAACCACAAGGCUACAAAACCUGGAAUCAACUACCCAUACCUAGCCAGGCAUCAGAGAUUCCGCUAAGAUCACAUGAAGAAUGUGGAGGAAAUAUGUCAACAAACCAAAAUACACAGCUACACUGUUUAGCAGGGCUUGGAGAAAAGCCUGUGUGGUGUUGUAUAACGUGGAGCAGCAGUGGAGGAAAUGUACCUCUGAGAGAGAACCAUUCAUCAGACCCCAUCAGCACCCAGUGUCCUGUCCUUCAUUUGGGCCUAACUGCCUGCGUAAAUGUAACUUCCACUCUCCCUACCCCCUGAAAACAGCCCACAGAGAAGUCCAAGGCCAAACUUUUUACUUCUAUCAUUUUAUUAUCAGCCACACUGAGCUGAGCAGAGAGCUGUGGCUGGCCCAAUCCGUCAACAUCUGACUCUUCCCCUUACAGCUGCUUUGUAUUAGAGGCUCUCCCUCGCCCCAAAUCUCUCGCACAUGUUCCCCUGGAAUCAGAGCGAUACAACGGGAUAUCAGUUCUGCCAUUCUAAUUAUGGCCCACGCUGAGGGAAACAAAACAGUGCUGAUAAUGAGUGGCUUUGGGAUGUUAACACACUCUUAUUGAAGCACAUUAAACGCUAAAUAAUAGAUUUGAUUUAUAUUAAAAAGCAUUUUCCCUUUGCAGCCUCAUUUAUCUUUAUCCCAGAGUAAAAGAGUUGUGGUCUAUUUUGGAGCCUUUGGAUUAUGUCUGUAGUGAUUUAUGUACUGCCUACAAUAAGUCAAUGGGUCCUUGUUAAAGCCUACUGACACAGCCAGGUUUCUACAGUGCUACCAUUUUACAGUAGUCUCCUAAAUAUUUUGCUGUGCUGCCUGGAAUUUUAAUUUGAGAGCCCCAGUGCCCCUACAAGAAAACAAACACCCCGAUAAUUGCUGUAAUGGUUACUUUGCUGUACCACUGCCUCUGGGUGCCAUAGAGAAUACACUGAGCAUAUAUUCGGGACCGCCAUGCCUGCAUCAUUACUACAGGAAAAAUGGCUGGUUUCUAGCUCAAACUGUUCAAGUGUUAUGACCCAUAUUACCGGCGGAAACGCAUUUUACAUUCAUAAACCAUGUUGCGGGCCGUUAACCUUGUUCAGUAAUGUUACAGCAUUAGCUAGCUAGCUAAUUACCUGCUAACCACAGAUGAACGUUAUCAUAUUCUUUGUGGUAACUCUACAAGUAGUGUGCAAACAUUUGGUGGCACAGAAAAAUGGAGAGCCUCUUCAGGAGAUAAGCUUCAAAAGUAGCUAGGAUUCAUAUAGGCUCAAUGAAGGCUACAUCUUAAUCAAUUUUCUGGUGCUCCUUAACCCUGUAUUUUGUGAUUACUGGCAAUUUUUAUCAUUAAAGGACCCCCACCAGAGGCAGUUGCCGCCACUAUUUCGGCGUAAUUUCCUGUCCUGGAGAGAGAAUGCACACUCAGGUUCCACCUCCGAAGAAUGACGAAAGCUAACAUUACUUAUUUUUUCACGAAUUUGGUAUGGAAAUUUCCACAUGGAGUUGGUUAACAUCAACAAAUAGGGCACUGACAGAUGUCAGUGUAGCUAGCUAGCAUGCUAAUCUUAUCUAGCUAGCUAAUGUUAUUGGUGUUUGUUGUAUUUUUUUAAACUGCAACAUAUUCAAAUUAGCCAGCUGGCUUUAUGGCUGGUUCUGGAGCUAGAUUUGUCAUACGCAUUGAUUUAGGGAAAACUUUGCAAAAGAUGGAAACCACAUGCCUAUCUUGUACUUCUAUUGUUAUAUCAAAGGUUUUGGCAUCUUCCAUGAAUUGUAGCCGCAAAUCCGCCAUAGAUAUAGUUAGACAAACUCCUGAGUUGUCUCGUUUUCCUGUUUGAAGGUGAACCUUCGCCCCAUUCUGAGGUUCUGAGUGCUCUGGAGCAGGUUUUCAUCAAGGAUCUCUCUGUACUUUGUUCCCAAUCCAACCUGGCAGAGCUUGAGAGGAUCUGCAGAGAAGAAUGGGAGAAACUCUCCAAAUACAGGGUGGCCUGGUAUGAUUCUGAUGACUUGUGAGGUUCCUCUGGCUCUACUGACCCAAGAUUGGAGAGUGGCACAGUUUGGUCUCAUCUGGCACACUUGUCCUUAAAUCUAUAUGAUCGACAUGUGUAUCACCAUCUUUGUCCUUCCACCCUCCAGGAUUCCAGGCUACACCAGCAGCCUCCUCUUCAUGCUCAUCUUCUUAGUUGUGGUUGUGGUCAAGAAAUGGGUACAUCCCCUGCCCCCUACCAAGCAAUGUGACCAGAUAUCGAAUUCCUUCGGAAUUGGAAUGUACGCCCAAACUCUCACCCAGUAAGGCCACAUGGACACAGAGCUGUUGCUAGGCUACGACGUGAACCUUCCGAGUGAUGUGUUGGUGAUGGAAAAGAGACCAUGGUCUCAGCAUUGACUCCAUUUCAAAAUAAAUGUUCAAUUAAAAACUAAAAUGUCUGAGCGUCUGACAAUCCUGCUGGCUGUGCUGCUGACUGUUUGGGGUUGUGGGCUCUGUUUCUGCUGAUCUUCAGCCUGUUUGUGGGACUGCUCAGUCUGUCAUCGUGGUCACCUGGGCAGAGAACCCCUGAACAGGACCUCAUGACCAGACAAGCCAUGUACCUGCUCCAUGGAGCCUAAAGGGAAAAUGCUGCCAGAUAAAUCAUAUUUGGCAGCAAACCAGGACGCUAUGACCACCAAACAGGCCAGUGGUAGGACCACAAGAUCACUGCAUCCAGACUCUGAAAGCAUAAGACUGCCCAGUUACUGAAUGUUGCGCUGAUAUAUUGAGUGAAUAUACUAUACCUUCCUCUAUACCGCACCUCCGGUAUCCAUAGAAGAAAAGUCAUUAAAAUGCUUAUCAACUAUUUCAUUACAUGAUUAAUUUAUUGUACUGUAAAAUGUUAAAUAAAAGGGAAACAUUGAUUUGUAUAAUUGA